rnacentral:rRNA from 1 species
GGCUCAGGACGAACGCUGGCGGCGUGCCUAACACAUGCAAGCCUGGGAGAAGAGAGUAGCAAUACUUUUUGUAAACCGGCGCACGGGUGAGUAAUAUAUAGGUAACCUGCCCUUUGGUUUGGGAUAACUCGUCGAAAGGCGAGCUAAUACUGAAUGAUGCAGCGGCUCCACAUGGAGAUGUUGUUAAAGCCUUCGGGCGCCAAGGGAUGGGCCUGUAUCCCAUUAGAUAGUUGGUGAGGUAACGGCUCACCAAGUCAAUGAUGGGUAGCUGAUCUGAGAGGAUGAUCAGCCACACUGGAACUGAGACACGGUCCAGACUCCUACGGGAGGCAGCAGUGAGGAAUAUUGCGCAAUGGAUGAAAGUCUGACGCAGCGACGCCGCGUGGAGGAUGAAGGCCCUUUGGGUCGUAAACUCCUGUAGAGUGGGAAGAAUAACCCUUUUGAAGGGUCUGACGGUACCACUAAAGUAAGGAUCGGCUAACUACGUGCCAGCAGCCGCGGUAAUACGUAGGAUCCGAGCGUUGUCCGGAAUUACUGGGUGUAAAGGGAGCGCAGGCGGGUCUAUAAGUCGACGGUGAAAUCUUCCAGCUCAACUGGAAAACUGCCGCCGAUACUGUAGAUCUUGAGUAUGUCAGAGGGAAACGGAAUUCAUGGUGUCGCGGUGAAAUGCGUAGAUAUCAUGAAGAACACCAGUCGCGAAGGCGGUUUCCUGGGACAUUAUUGACGCUCAUGCUCGAAAGUGUGGGGAGCAAACAGGAUUAGAUACCCUGGUAGUCCACACCUUAAACGAUGAAUACUAGGUGUCGGGUCGCAAGAUUCGGUGCCAAAGCUAACGCAUUAAGUAUUCCACCUGGGGA